rnacentral:snRNA from 14 species
UUACUUACCUAGACGGGGUCAAUGGGCGAUCGAGAAGGCCCAUAGCCUAGGCUGGUGACCUCCAUUGAACUUUGAAGGGGUGCCCACUUAAGGUUGAAAAAAAAAAGCUACUUGUACGAGGCGGAUUUAGGGCAGAUUUUGCGAAUUCGACUAGAC